AGGGUUGUGGCUCAGUGGUAAAGUGCUUGCCUAGCAUGCAUGAGGAACUGGGUUCAAUCCCCAGCACUA
rnacentral:tRNA from 1 species